rnacentral:rRNA from 1 species
AUUGAACGCUGGCGGCAGGCCUAACACAUGCAAGUCGAACGAGUGGCGGACGGGUGAGUAAUGUCUGGGAAACUGCCUGAUGGAGGGGGAUAACUACUGGAAACGGUAGCUAAUACCGCAUACCAUCGGAUGUGCCCAGAUGGGAUUAGCUAGUAGGUGGGGUAACGGCUCACCUGGGCGACGCUCCCUAGCUGGUCUGAGAGGAUGACAAGCAAGACAGGAACUGAGACACGGUCCAAAAUCCUACGGGAGGAAGCAGUGGGGAAUAUUGCACAAUGGGCGCGAGCGUGAUGCAGCCAUGCCGGGUGUAUGAAGAAGGCCUUCGGGGUGUAAAGUACUUGCAGCGGGGAGGCGUUACCCGCAGAAGAAGCACCGGCUAACUCCGAGCCAGCAGCCGCGGUAAUUC